rnacentral:rRNA from 1 species
GACGAACGCUGGCGGCGUGCCUAAUACAUGCAAGUAGAACGAGUUGCGAACGGGUGAGUAACGCGUGGUAACCUGCCUCAUAGCGGGGGAUAACUAUUGGAAACGAUAGCUAAUACCGCAUAUUGUGAGAUGGACCUGCGUUGUAUUAGCUAGUUGGUGAGGUAAAGGUUCACCAAGGCGACGAUACAUAGCCGAUCUAGGAGGGUGAGCGGCCACACUGGGACUGGGACACGGCCCAGACGCCUACGGGAGGCAGCAGUGGGGAAGAUUGCACAAUGGGCGCAAGCCUGAUGCAGCCAUGCCGCGUGUAUGAAGAAGGCCUGCGGGUUGUAAAGUACUUUCAGCGGGGAGGCGUUACCCGCAGAAGAAGCACCGGCUAACUCCGUGCCAGCAGCCGCGGUAAUAC